AUUGAACGCUGGCGGCAUGCUUUACACAUGCAAGUCGAACGAGUGGCGAACGGGUGAGUAAUAUAUCGGAACGUACCGAGUAAUGGGGGAUAACCAAUCGAAAGAUUGGCUAAUACCGCAUAUUAUUCGAGCGGCCGAUAACUGAUUAGCUAGUUGGUGGGGUAAAGGCCUACGAGGGCGACGAGCAGUAGCGGGUCUGAGAGGACGGUCGGCGACAUUGGGGGUGGGACAGGGCCCAGACUCCUACGGGAGGCAGCAGGGGGGAAUUUUGGACAAUUGGGGCAACCCUGACCCAGCCAUGCCGCGUGUAUGAAGAAGGCCUUCGGGUUGUAAAGUACUUUUGUUAGGGAAGCGGUACCUAAAGAAUAAGCACCGGCUAACUACGUGCCAGCCGCCGCGGUAAUUC
rnacentral:rRNA from 1 species